UCGAGAAUUUUUCACAAUGGGCGAAAGCCUGAUGGAGCGACGCCGCGUGGGGGAUGAAUGGCUUCGGCCCGUAAACCCCUGUCAUUUGCGAUCAACCGUUAUUAUUUAAAAGAUGAUAACCUGAUAGUAGCGAAAGAGGAAGGGACUGCUAACUCUGUGCCAGCAGCCGCGGUAAUACAGAGGUCCCAAGCGUUGUUCGGAUUUACUGGGCGUAAAGGGUGCGUAGGUGGCGGUGUAAGUCGGAUGUGAAAUCUCCGAGCUCGACUCGGAAACUGCAUUGGAAACUACAUUGCUCGAGGGUUGGAGGGGGGACUGGAAUACUUGGUGUAGCAGUGAAAUGCGUAGAUAUCAAGUGGAACACCAGUGGCGAAGGCGAGUCCCUGGACAACUCCUGACACUGAGGCACGAAAGCUAGGGGAGCAAACAG
rnacentral:rRNA from 1 species